CCUACGGGAGGCAGCAGUGAGGAAUAUUGGUCAAUGGCCGUAAGGCUGAACCAGCCAAGUCGCGUGAAGGAAGAAGGUUCUAUGGUUUGUAACCUUCUUUUAUAGGGGAAUAAAGGUAUCCACGUGUGGAUUUUUGCAUGUACCCUAUGAAUAAGGAUCGGCUAACUCCGUGCCAGCAGCCGCGGUAAUACGGAGGAUCCGAGCGUUAUCCGGAUUUAUUGGGUUUAAAGGGAGCGUAGAUGGGUUGUUAAGUCAGAUGUGAAAGUUUGCGGCUCAACCGUAAAAUUGCAAUUGAUACUGGCAGCCUUGAGUACAGUUGAGGUAGGCGGAAUUCGUGGUGUAGCGGUGAAAUGCUUAGAGAUCACGAAGAACUCCGAUUGCGAAGGCAGCCUACUAAACUGCCACUGACAUUGAUGCUCGAAAGUGUGGGUAUCAAACAGGAUUAGAUACCCCUGUAGUC
rnacentral:rRNA from 1 species